UGUCGCCGACCAAAACAUUCAGCUUCUGGCGGUGACAGCAGAGCAGCGGAACAGAACGACAGGACACGAUGCUGGAUUUAUUCGACAUUUAAACCACUUAGUGAAGCUUUUAAACGAGACGUUUUUUCAGCUAAAUUAGCUAAAAUUCCGUUGCUAACCGGGAAAGUUGUCGACCUACUAGUGACUCUUUAAGUUAGUGUGAAGCCAGCUAGCUUAACCUGCUGGGUGACAUUAGCUUACAUGAAAUAUAAAUAAACAACGUAGUUUUAUUAAGGGGAAAUAUCAGUCUCCUGAGCAGAUGCCUCGUCCGGAGAAGUCAAACGGCAGAGGGACGAAAAGGCUACAACUAGACUGGAAGUUUGUCCAGAGGUUCUGCAGCAUCCAGAAGAUUCUGUUCCCAUCAUGGAGCAGUCAGAGUGUCUUGAUGUUUGGUACGCUGCUUUGCGUCACUCUGACAGAGCAGCUGAUCAUUUACCAAGUGGGCAUCCUCCCCAGUCACUUCUACAAUGUGCUCGGGGACAAAAACUACUCCGGCUUCAAGAAUCUGUUGGGCACAGCCAUGGUGCUGAUUGUGGUCAACUCCACGCUGAAAAGUGUUGACCAGUACAUUUGCAAUCAGAUGUAUGUUAGCUGGAGGAAGACGCUGACUGAGAGCCUCCAUUCGGCCUAUUUCCAGGGCAGAGUCUAUUACACACUCAAUGUACUCAGAGAGGACGUAGAUAACCCAGACCAGCGGAUCAGUCAGGAUGCAGAGAGGCUGUGUAAGCAGAUGAGCACGAUGGCGAGUCGCUUGAUUGUCUCUCCGUUUACUCUGGGUUAUUACACCUAUCACUGCUUUCACAGCACCGGCUGGAUCGGUCCUGUGAGUAUCUUUGGUUAUUUUGUGGUUGGGACCGUUGCCAAUAAAAUCCUCAUGGGGCCGAUUGUGUCAACUCUGUUUGAGCAAGAAAAACUGGAGGGAGACUUCAGAUUCAAGCACAUGCAAAUCCGUGUCAAUGCAGAGUCUGCAGCCUUUUACAGAGCUGGUAAAGUGGAGCACAUGAGGACGGACAGAAGACUGCAGACUCUGCUGCAGACGCAAAAACGCCUCAUAAACAAGGAGCUGUGGCUUUACAUUGGGGUGAACACCUUUGACUACCUCGGAGGUUUACUCAGCUACAUCAUAAUCUCCAUUCCCAUCUUUACUGGUGUUUAUGAUGAUCUGACUCCUGGUGAACUCAGCGCACUCAUCAGUAAGAAUGCCUUUGUGUGCAUCUACUUGAUAAAUGGCUUCACGCAGCUAAUAGACCUGUCAACGACUCUGUCAGAUGUGGCCGGAUACACCCACAGGAUCGGGGAGCUGAGGGAGGUGAUGGAUGACAUCCUACGCAAGCAGUGUGACUACGACCCCGCGUCAGGGGAAAGCUACGACUUUGACAGUGACUUCAACAUCCACGGAGGCCCUACAGACACUGCCUUCAUCCUGGACAGUCUUUCAUACAAAUCUCCUUAUUCAGAUCAGCUGCUGGUGGAAGAUCUGAGUCUGAAAAUCAGCCAGGGAACUCACCUUCUGGUAGUGGGGAACACGGGCACCGGCAAGACAUCGCUGCUGAGAGUUCUUAACCGUCUGUGGGAGGCCGACAGCGGUUUUGUCCAGAUGACGACAUGUUUCGGGCCCAGAGGAACCCUCUUCCUGCCUCAGAAGCCCUAUCUGACUGAUGGGACUCUACGUGAACAGGUGAUCUACCCACUGAAGGAUAUUUACCCUGAAUCAGGGUCAGUGGAUGAUGAGAGAAUUAUACAUUUCCUGGAACUAGCUGGAGUGUCCAGUCUCCUGAAGCGGACCGGAGGGCUGGAUGAAAAAGUGGACUGGAACUGGUACGAUGUUCUGUCUCCAGGUGAAAUGCAGCGUCUCUGCUUUGCACGGCUCUUUUACCUGCAGCCCAAAUAUGCAGUUUUAGAUGAGGCCACCAGCGCUCUGACCGAGGAGGCGGAGGCACAGCUGUACCGGACCUGUAAACAGCUGGGCAUGACGUUGAUCAGUCUGGGACACCGUAGCAGCCUGGAGAAGUAUCAUGAUGUCCAGUUGAAGCUCUGCGGAGAAGGCCGGUGGGAGUUAACUAAGUUAAAAGGAGCCAGCGGGAGUCUCAGUCUCAGCGAGGACGAAUUCUGAUCUGUCUUCUCUUUAAAGCAUCGAUGUUCAUAUUAAUUCAACAGCAUUCAAGUGCUCUUCAUCGAGACCAAAGAACUACAGACUCUUCACAACCUGCUCAAACUCUUGGUACAGGACCUCACCACACGGGUCAAGAAGGUUUCCGUCUCAUUUCUACUCUGAAGCUCACCUUCUCCUGCUCAAACUGCUGACAAAUGUUUCUGCUGCUCUAAAGUCUGCUCUCCAGAACUUCCUAAAAACUCUCAAAGUCUCUUCUGCUGCAGGUUGCUUUGUAGAACUGUUGCAGAAAACCUCACUAAACCACAUGGAGGGGCCUCAAGAUAGUCGUCCAAAUGAAUCCGUACAAAAACCAAACUAGCACAACCCAAACGCUAAAGUCUCCUGCAGCCUACCAGAGAACCUCUGAGAACAGAGAAUCAGGACAGGAACUCUUACCUUCUGGACAACCAACGUUGCUUCACAACAAGAAUACAGAAUGUGUCUGACCAAAAACCUCUAAAGACUCACUACAGCCAAGAUAAAGACACAACUCAGCUGCAUCAAAUCCACUAAUCACUGCACACAUUACCACCAUGUUCUAACUGUGGCUAAAGAACCACCUUUACCAAGACAACUAUCCAGUACAAAGCCCUAAAACACACCAAGAAACACAUUAAAGACGAUUUUACUGCUGGAAGCUGCAAGCCAACGCCUAAAGAAAAAACUAAAGCAAUGGAGCCAAACCCGGUUCAGUGGUGAACAGAAGCAGAGGAAAUGUUUGUCUGCAGCUAAAUAAAGCAGGAAGACACUGAGCUGCUCAGGUGUUCCUGAUAACACCAAGCAGCCACCUGGACAGCCAAUAGGAACACAGCUUACUGGAAGUCCAGAGGGCUGGCUUAGUGAAGGAAAUUUAGUUUAAAGUUGAAGCAGAAAGUUAACAAAGAAAGUUGAAAACCACCUUCUGAUCCCUGAAAUCUCUGAGUUUUCACACAAAGAACGCCUGAACAUGUCAAACUGGUUCCAUAGUAGAACCAUCAUUGUAAAAACGUCAUAGUAUGGUGUAUUGCUCAAAAAACAUUAGGACCCAGCUGUCUAGUGUUGCCGAGGAGCAACACAAAAACAGGACAAACGCUGGUUUCCAGGGGGUUAGGCAGCUAUUUAUUUGAAAGAGUGAGUUUACAACACAUGUGAGCAGAAAAAUCACAAAGUCUGUCUUUAGUUCAGCUGAAAAUAUUAGUUUUUGUCUUUUUUAUUGACCAAACUUUUCAAGAAGUACAUGAAGAAUAAUUAAAGCUCUCAUGUAGAAGUCCAGCUUAUUUUGGAUCCUUGCGGAGAGUUUAAUCUUUGAGUUUGUAAAACUGUUGAGUUUUUAGAGUCACAUGGAUUGUUUUGACAUUUAAUAACCAAGUCCUGAAAUAAAAUGACAGUUGUGGAUUUCUGUCAUUUAGUCUGGACUAAAAAAUUAACAGCAGCAUAAAUCUCAAACGUUAUUAUGAGGAGUCUGGAUUGAGGUUUCUCACUUGAUAAUGAUCAAAACAUGAAGUUUAGGUUGGUUUAAAGGAAUAUUCCACCUUAAAUCUUUGAAUGUUGACCUAAAAAGUUGUGGAGUAUAGCAUGUCCUCCAUAAAAUGUCAUAGUUUAGUAUGUCGUCCAAAAUGUCACAAAAACGUCAUAGUUUAGUAUGUCGUCCAAAAUAUGACAAAAAUGUCAUAGUUUAGUAUGAUGUCCAAAAUAUGACAAAAACGUCAUAGUUUAGUAUGUCGUCCAAAAUAUGACAAAAACAACAUAGUUUAGUAUGUCGUCCAAAAUAUGACAAAAACAUCAUAGUUUAGAAUGUCGUCCAAAAUAUGAAAAAAAUGUCACAGUUUAGUAUGUUGUCCAAAAUGUCACGAAAACGUCAUAGUUUAGUAUGUCGUCCAAAAUAUCACUAAAACGUCAUAGUUUAGUAUGUGGUCCAAAAUGUGACAAAAACGUCAUAGGUUAGUAUGUCGUCCAAAAUAUGACCAAAACAUCAUAGUUUAGUAUGUCGUCCAAAAUAUGACAAAAACCUCAUAGUUUAGUAUGUCGUCCAAAAUGUGACAAAAACGUCAUAGUUUAGUAUGUUGUCCAAAAUGUGACAAAAACAUAGAUAGUUUAGUAUGUCGUCCAAAAUAUAACAAAAACGUCAUAGUUUCGUAUGUCGUCCAAAAUGGGACAAAAAUGUCAUAGUUUCGUAUGUCGUCCAAAAUGUGACAAAAACGUCAUAGAUUAGUAUGUCGUCCAAAAUGUGAAAAAAA